rnacentral:rRNA from 1 species
UACGAAGGGGGCUAGCGUUGUUCGGAAUUACUGGGCGUAAAGCGCGCGCAGGCGGUCUUUCAAGUCAGUGGUGAAAGCCUGGAGCUCAACUCCAGAACUGCCAUUGAAACUGCAAGACUUGAGUACGAGAGAGGUGAGUGGAAUUCCCAGAGUAGAGGUGAAAUUCGUAGAUAUUGGGAAGAACACCGGUGGCGAAGGCGGCUCACUGGCUCGUAACUGACGCUCAGGCGCGACAGCGUGGGGAUCAAACAGG